GCCUCUGCUCCUCUAGGCAGCCUCCACUCCCUCUCAUGUCGCCCUACCGUCAUCCAUGCCUUCCAGCGGUAUCCUGCCUCUCCAGGGUGCCUUCCUCGCCGCUCUUCAGCAAUUUGCCGUGCUGACUCGCCACAUCCAGGCCUAUCCGUCAUGCUGGGAGGAUUUGGGGAUAGGGGCUGCGGAGGUUCUGAAAGUUGCCUUCAUGGAUUUAGAGUUUCUAAUGUGUGACUUUCCAGUUCUCAGACCAACAUGAUCCACCAGGGCAUCCCUGCUGGUGCUAUGGGAGAGGCCAGAUUGCCGGGUUGUCAGUCCAGUAGAUCGCUCCGGAGGACAGGUCAGAAUUCAGAAAGAGGUACUUCCACGUUACGAUGAGGGCCAGGAUCGCUUUCUAGAGCUAUGCAUCAUAUUUGUUGGAUUUUCUAUUCUUUCUUCAGUUUGUGCAGUCAAACGGAUACUUAUCCGGUAAACAACACACAUGUUAACUCUAAGGGAGUACCACUGUCCUAAAUUUUUAUGCAAAUCUGAAUAAAACGUAUGCUUUCCCUUUAUCUAAAAUAAUCUCACAACUGUGCUGAAAAUAAAAUGGUGUUAGUGCAUUAUUGUGGUUGGAUCUUCUGUACCUAAUUACAGUAUUGGUGAAGUAAAAAGACGAACUUUAGUUAUAAUCUAGCUUACUAGAUACUUACUUUUUUUCCUCAAAAUCAACCUAUGCAUAUCCUGAUAUGCCAUUUGGUAUAUAUUUUUUUUAGCAAUAUUAUGUUAUCCGAGCUUAAUUUUCCACGUUUGCCAUAAACCUAGCCAUCUGGUUUUUAGUGACUGAUACACAUUUGACAGGGGCCAUUGUGUUCCUGCGUUGAGGCAGGUUUCCAUCUGAUGUGAUCAACCAAUCAUUGCAUCUUAUUCAGUGAGGUCUCUCAUUUAGUAUGGUACAGUUUUCUUUUCUGGUUCUUUUAAUUUUGGCCACUUCAUUGUUAGUUCAAUGUUUUGUCUUUAGAUUUUUUUUUACUGAUUCUCUGUUAGUACAUUUCCAUAUAUGAAAACAUGAAAUCUGAGACAUGAAACAUGCAAACUGAAACUAUGUUAUGCUUACUUCUCUUUUGCUCUAGAUUUUUGUAGCUCCAAUGCUCUAAAUAUUAUUAUUCCUAAAUUAGGAUGGUCGACCCCUCUCUGUUAAGCUAUUGCAUAAGCUGGUCUGAUAUAUUUUUACAUUUCAUGCUGGAAUUUAUACUUUUGCAGGAAGCAUAGGAAAUUAGAAAUAUUACACGACACUGAAGCAUUCAUAGAAUGAUCUUUUUUUAUUUAUUAUAGCCAUGUCCGAGAUAAAAUUCAUUGUUCUCAUUACCAUCUUCCAUUUUAAUUACCAUGGAGUCUGUCCUCAAUUUAUCUUGACGUUUUUCUUACUCAGUACAUGUGGGUUUCACUGAUAGUAAACACUCACUAUUGGCGCUUGGUUUUGAUAACAGCAGCCAUACCUUAGGUUCUGCUUCGAGAA